rnacentral:lncRNA from 1 species
AAUUUUUAACUUUAACUUAAAAUAAAAUUUGGAUUUUAGUUUCUAUCAAACGGGGCUAAAUUUUUAAGGUAAAUUGAAUUUUCCCCCCUUUAUUUUUCUUUCUAAAAGAAAUUUUCGUGUUUGGUGGAGAGAAGCAUGCUACAAUCUACAUCGAUGGCGGCACACCAAGGUACGGGAGUUAAUUGAAAAGGCAACACUUAGCCCCUCUCUCUUGCUCAUACCGUUACUAGCUCAAUCACGUGUUCAUAAUUUAGUUGGAGAUGAAGGCCAGAAGAAGAAGAAUUCUUCUCGAAUGCCCCCCACCCCGGGGGAAAACAGGGCCUAUCUGGCCCUGCAGCACGGCACCUAAAGUUUGAUCCUCCACUAGGUAGAAUACCUACAAAAUUUGGGCGUUGGAGCUAUAGAUCGAGGAAUAGGGUCUUAGAUGAUUUGUAAAACUAUAAGAUUGAUGAGAAAAGAAACUAUUUCGAUGUAUUACUAGCCCUGAACAUAGAUGGACAUAGCAGUACCAAAAAGUUAAAGAAAAGAUAAAUGAUUUAUUCAAGAAAGAGAGAUAAUCAUUGGCAAACUUUCAUUUUCCCCUCCUGUUUCUCCACGCAUAAUCAAGGAGAAAAUAAGGGAAAUCUUGUGCCAAUAACUUAUAGAACUCGCCUGAGAACAAAAUAAACAAAAGCUAAAGCCCAUAACAAGAUUGUUACAGCUUUUCAUAGAGGAUGUUUGAUAGCAGAACUAAUUGAACAAGUUGAGAAGCUUUGGUUCGUGGGAUUGCUGAUCUCUAAAAGUAGUUAUUACUGAUUCUUCAGAAUUCAUUGAUGGGCUCCCAAGUCGCCGAUUAGCUUCCUGUAAAGGGCUUCCUUUUUCACUCUGAAAAUUAGGGAUUAAACUGAGAUCAAGAUGAUCAGUUAAUUGUGUUGACCUUCAAAAAUGGUUCCUCCACGUGGCUAACUUAUAGCUACUCAAUGUAUUUCUCCCUGCGAAAUGAACAAACGGUCAGGCGCACACGGCCGGAACCGACGGGGGUGAUGGCGGCCGUAUACUCCGACGGUCAAGUCAGGUUUGAGUGGUCGGAACAGUGCCCAGGGGCUACACAAAUCAAUCAAUAAAGGGGGAGGAGAAUAUAUAAACUUGUUAUGGAAUGCUAUGUAUUGAGAAUUUCAUCCCCUUUACCUCUUGUCAAACCUUGGGUAUUUAUAGGUGGUGGAACCGCUGGAUGUGGGACGCGUGUGUACAUCUGACGGUAUGAAGCAUCUGCUCAUAGGCGUCAAUCAGCCGCGCUUGUAGAGUGGGCGGACAGUUUGUUUCCCCCGAGUUGAAUUGACAUAAAGUUGAUAAGUCACAUCAAAUAUCCUCAUGGAGACGUCAAAUCAAUUUAAGCCUUAGGUGCAGGACAAAUCUUAAAUUGACGGCGGAUCUUCUAACCGGGGUCCACUUGAUCUCGGCCUCGGUGGUGAGAUGACACUUCGGUAUCGAGGCGCGAAUAAUCGAUCUCGGCCUCGGUGGUGAGAUGGCACUUCGGUAUAUCGAGGCGCGAAUAAUCGAGGCGUAACAGUGGUCCCCCAAAUCCGGGAAUGAAUAUUUAUAUUAUGCGUGGAUUUGUUUUCCUGACCGGGCUGCGAGUCAUGGGACCUUUUGGGGGUCGAUUCGUCGCAGC